UCCCUUUGUGACUUGUGUCUCUCUCUCUUCUGAGAUUUUAAAGCUUCGAACUUUCAACAAAAUUAUUUUACUUUUUUGCAGAGAGAAGAUCAUCGAUCUCAUCUUCGAAAACCUUAAAUUCAACCCGUUACGAGUUUGAUUCUUCGGUAUUAUUCUUUCUCUCUCGAUUUGAAAAAAAAAAGAAAUGGCGAAUGAAAUUGAAUCAGCGACAGAUCCAGGAUUCGAUGGUUAAUCAUAAGGCUGUUUUGGCUGUGACGGAUGAUGUUGUGUUGCCUGUUAGCUCUGUUCUAACUAUUAUGGAACAGCUUGGAAAGGAGCGUUUUGAUCCUCUGAUUAUUACUCAAGCAUCCACAAUAAUUCUUAGAUGUUAAUCCAGAACUUGGAAAUUCCUAUAACGAGGUCAUUGCUCCUCAAGAUGUUGCUACCUAUGGUGGACUCUGUGCCCUGGCAAGUUUUGAUCGAUCAGAAUUGAAGGCAUGUAUCCUAUUUAGCUUUUAUUUUACUCUGCCAGUUUGUUCCCAGUGUUUGCUUGUUGCAGCCGUUAUGCUUCCUGUCUGGAAUAUCUAGCAAGUCUGAAAGCGAACUUGCUGCUGGACAUCCAUCUUCAUGACCACGUUGACACACUGUAUGAUCAGAUAAGGAAGAAGGCACUGAUCCAGUACACACUGCCAUUUGUGUCUGUUGAUUUGAGCAGGAUGGCUGAUGCAUUCAAGACUAGUGUCUCUGGUCUAGAGAAGGAACUAGAAUACAUGAUCACAGACAACCAGAUUCAGGUUGAGAAGAAAUGGCAGGACACAAGGUUGCGCAUGCCACACUGAAAGGCCUGAGUGUUGUCAAGGAAUUAGUUAUUGGUUUGGCACUUGGUUUAGCUGCUGGUGGUCUCUGGAAAGAUGUUUUGAGAUUUUCACAUAUCUCUAUCAAUUUUGAGUUACCUAAUUAGCAUAACUUAUGCAAAAUUUGUAACUUUGUAAUUUUCUUAUGUUUUUAAUGUCAAUAUUAUAUGUUUUAUUUAAAUUAAAACUUUAAUA